GCUCUUGUGACGAAAUUGGUAAACGUGUUAGUCUUAGAAACUAAUUUUCUAUGGGUUCAAGUCCCAUCAAGAGCA
rnacentral:tRNA from 2 species